CAUUGAAAACUAGAUAAGUAAGUAAAAUAUAGAUUUUACCAAGCAAAACCGAGUGAAUAAAGAGUUUUAAAUAAGCUUGAAUUCAUAAGAAAUAAUCGCUAGUGUUCGAAAGAACACUCACAAGAUUAAUAACGCGUUUAAAUCUUUUUAUAAAAGAACGUAACUUCAUGUUAACGUUUGACUUAUAAAAAUGGUGGAAACAUAGAUUAAGUUAUUAAGGGCGCACGGUGGAUGCCUUGGCACUAGAAGCCGAUGAAGGACGUUACUAACGACGAUAUGCUUUGGGGAGCUGUAAGUAAGCUUUGAUCCAGAGAUUUCCGAAUGGGGAAACCCAGCAUGAGUUAUGUCAUGUUAUCGAUAUGUGAAUACAUAGCA
rnacentral:rRNA from 1 species